rnacentral:lncRNA from 1 species
CGACCAACAGAGUCAUCCAGACAGGAGACAUCGGGAGCCUGUGUGAGGGGCUGAAUGACUGCAGCACCGUCUGUCAGCUCCAGACCUCUUCCAAAAUCGCGCGGAUUGUUUGCAGAAGCUUCUCCCUGGAACACACCAUAGAUUUCAUGAUGGCCAUCAAGGACACCUUCCGGAAGGCCAAAGGAAUGCGUGUGCGUGCUGCUGGCAGGUGGAUGAUCACCUUCCUGCAGAUGUAUGGAAAGGACAUCUGUCGGGAUCUUGAUCUUUCACCGAUCAUCUACAUCCUGCGCAGCUGCAUAUCGUCCAUGAAGCACAGCACGUUCAUGCCAUUCCUGUGCCAGGCGGUGGCCAUCCUCACCCGCUGUAACGCAGACGUCACAAUUGACAGCUUCUUCCACCAGCUGUGAGCCCUCAGACAGCGAGGCAUGGAGGAGAAUAAGAG